rnacentral:rRNA from 1 species
UACGGAGGGGACUAGCGUUGUUCGGAAUUACUGGGCGUAAAGCGCACGUAGGCGGAUUUGUAAGUCAGGGGUGAAAUCCCGGGGCUCAACUCCAGAACUGCCUUUGAUACUGGCGAUCUCGAGUCCGGGAGAGGUGAGUGGAACUGCGAGUGUAGAGGUGAAAUUCGUAGAUAUUCGCAAGAACACCAGUGGCGAAGGCGGCUCACUGGCCCGGUACUGACGCUGAGGUGCGAAAGCGUGGGGAGCAAACAGG